UUAGGACCAACUGUCGUGGCAACCGCCUGGAUUAAACAAAAAAGGGAUUAAGACUCAACCACAUGAGGAACCAAGGACUCAGAGCAUGAAAUUCCUUAAAUAAAAAUUUAUUAAUUUCAAACUGUG